GUUUUCAGCUGUCCUUGAGCAGGGGCAUCUUCUGCACACCUUUCACAGGCCCAGAGUGCUUCUCACACACCCUCCACAGAAUCUCAAAGGCCCUGCCUCCCUUUUCCAGGACGCACCCCCGGACCUUGCAGGGGUGUUUCUUCAACAGUGAUGGGAGAGCCCCACCCAAGGCAAAGGCACAGUUGGACCUGGGCUCUCUGCAGUAAAGCACCUCAAAUAAUGAUGCCUGGGAGCAGAGACGGCCAUGCCCGCUGUCUGUUGUUCCUCGCUCAUGGCAGCAGGAGUCAAAGGCGCUUUCUUCAAGGACUGCACAUUAAGUUUGUCUUUGUGCUUCUAGCUGCUUCCAUUUCAAAGGCUCUGCCAGGGAAUCUAGGGAGUCAUUCCUGGACCCGGCAGGCGUCUCCAUGGUGACAGCUGAGCAGGCCUGAGGGGGAGAGGCACUCACAGCACUUUCCCACAAGUCCCCUUUUCUGAUUUUUUUCCCUCCUAUUUUUUCCAAUAGUUACUAAGGCUGAAAAUUUAGCUUAAAAAAUAGGGUAAAAUGGGAACUCCCUAAACUAUUUUAUAAAAAACCCAUUGUAUAUAAAUACAUUGUCAUUACCCACCUCAGUGGAGUAUAAUAUAGCCUGAGAAGUACAAUCUUUUUUUCUCUCUGUCCCUUACCACUGUCUGAAGAAGGGAUGGAGUCUACUUUUCCUGUUUCCAUCUGUGUACAGGCUCUAGUGAACUGCCACAGCCUGCUUGCAGAUGUCUGCAUCCUUUACCCCCACCACAGUGGAUGGAAAACCUGUCCAAUCAACCACUGCAUCGGUGGCAGAGGUUGACAGUCACUGGAUUGGCGGCAGAGGUUGACCAGGAGUUGUAAACAUCCUGCUGUUGCUUGCCAGACCCACCAGAACUGGUGUGUUCUUACAAUGCUCCCGUUGUUCACGUGCAUAGAACAGUCCACCUGCUGUGUGCUGGGAGAGUUGUCGUUGGUUGAUGUCACUGUGCAAACACUGGACAGGGUACUUACACAACAUGGGAGUCUGUAGGCCAGUCUUUUCACACGGUCUACUUCACACAAUCAAGAGGCUCCUGUAGAUAGUAACAGCCUAAAGGUGCCUCUGUUGAAACAUGGCCCCUAGUUACAGUAAACUUUAAAGAAAAAAAGUAUUAUUUAUGAGUAGAAGGAGUAUACUCUAAAAUAACCAUUACAUUUAAUAGAACGGUGACAUGAAGGGUAAUGUGAUUCUUUUGAGGAACCAGGGUUCCCCAGAGAGCCACACAUAUGUAGAAGAUUCUGCAGGCUGAUUGACCAAGUAAAACUUAUGUGAUUGUGGAAAAUGGGAAUGUUGCAGAUGGAAAGCCAAAAUUAUCUGGGGCUGUUUGUUUCUCAGCUCUGUAUCUACCUCAGUGUUCUUUUGAUACUGGUGGGUUUCGGGGUUCUGUGAUUACCUCUGAACGGCUUCCAUGUGCUUGUGUCUCAGAAGGAUGGAUUGGAUGGAGACAUGGGGAUGGUUGGUAGCAAUUAAUGGAGAGCAUUCAUUGGGGGAAGAAUACACUUCCAUGGGAGGAAGUAGGCCAGCGCUGAGGGCAAGUGUGCAUGCUUAAGGGCAACCACUGUGCCAAGGGUGGGGAUUUUUAUGUUGCACAGUGCGGCUUUUGGCUCAUUUGCAUGGCACAGGAUUUCUCACAAAUGCAGUUACCGGCUCUGCAUACUCCAUGCAUUUAAAAUUAGCAUUUUAAAUCUCCACCCAGGGGGUGUGUGUUUUAGUUUUAUAAUGAGCUGCAGAUCACCUUCACACAGUCUGGGAUGCCCUCUGUGCUCCAGCCAGUUCUAGUUGUUUUGGGCGCAGUGUGUUGUGUUGGAAGAGGGAGGGUCCCAGCCCUCCUCUUGCCUGAUGGAUCUCUUUCCCGUGCCGACUGGGCAGCUUUUAUGGCUCUCACUCUCUGACCUAUUCUCUCCCAUUGUUUUGACUACCAGGUGAAGGCGUUGUAAGGCACUAACCUAGCAGACCACUAGCUUCCACAAACACAGAAGCUAGGAGCAUCAUCAUUUAGAACCUGUAGCCGAGCUUUCCCAGUUUGCUGUGACCUGCUCACCAAUGUGUUCGGUGGAAUGCAUUGAUUUAGUCUUUUGUUCUGUGACUGCAGAGUCGAUGUAGUCACCUCCGUGGUGGAGUGUGUCAUUGGGGGCAGCUUGAAUCUGUGUUUCUGGGCCAUGGUCACUCACACUGGGCUCCGAAUAAACUAUUACUCCCUUUGGAGUGAGAGCUGUUUUGCGAUGACACACCAUGUUCAAGCAUCACGUGGUGUACACAGUGGAUGUGUCAGCUAGCAGUCGGUAUAGGAGGUGUGUUCACACCAGCAUCGGCAGAAACGUGAGUGGUAGGCUGUGUUACAUGCUGUGACAACUUCUGAGUGAGAAUUCUUCAGCUCCAUUGUCCUUGACUGAAACACCUGGCUAAUUAAAAAAUAUAUAUAUUUAUUUUAGUUUUAUGUAUAAGCAUCCUUGCUGGCAUAUAUGAUUGUGUGCAAAACCCAGGAAAUCCAGAAGAGGGCAUUGGAUCCCCUGGAACUGGAGUUACAGACAGUUGUGAGGCACAGCAUGGGUGCUGGAAAUGGAACCUGGGACCUCAGCCAGUGCUCUUAAUAGCUGAGCCAUCUCUCCAGCCCCACCUGGUUAAUAUUUUAUGCUACAUAGGGCACAAAUAUUACCAUUACUAUUUUGGCCACAAGGAUCUUAGCAUGAAUCUAAGGGAUGUUUUAAAUGGAACCAAAUGUUAAAAUUGUCACCAGUUUAAUGUGAAAUGAUGGGCAUGAGGAUGUUUGUAUGGUCUGUUGAGAAGAUAAGUCUUGUAUCUUUUAUAAUGGUGUAUUGCUGCAAUACACCCACAUUAGUGGGUGGAAAUUAGCUACCAGCAACAUGAAAACUGGAAUUCCUUUAGUCCUCUUAUUCCCUCAGACUGAAGCAGGACAUUUGGCCUGGAACUCUACUUCCAUCUUUUUCAGAGUUCCCAGGGGUGCCUCUCAGUGUUCUAAUGUACAAGGCAUGCCUAUUUUCCAUGGUGGCUAUUGUAGGGUGUGUGUGUGUGUGUGUGUGUGUGUGUGUGUGUGUGUGUGUGUGUGUGUAACAUGUUUUUCUUUGCUAUGUUAGUUGUGAGAGGGCAGACCCAAGGCAGGCUGCCUUGGCUUCCAUUCCUACACCAGACUUUCAAUUUUUCUUCACAAUGAUGUCUCCUUCUAUCAGACUCAGCGUUACUCAUCCUCUGGGCUCUAGGAACCCCAGAAAGGAUAGUCCAUGUCUUUGUACUUAGAAGCUUCUCCUGCACAACGGAGGCUUUUCUAAUGGGUCAAGCUCAUGCAAGCUUGCAUCAGAUCUUAGGACAUGUUUUUCUUGGAGCCAUAAACCCUUUGAAAGAUUACUAACCCUUUCUCAGAGAACUGUGUACAAUGGGGGCAUUUCACAGAGAAGCUAUGGGGUUAUGGCCUACCAGGAAGAAUCUGGCCUUUGGAGAAAUUUUCUCUCUUGAACUUUCUAGCUCCAGCUGUGGAUUUCGGUUUAGCCCAACUCACAAGCUGCCAGACACACCCAGCCAUAGACAAGUCCCUUGUGGGUGUGGCUCAGGCCAAGCAGACGCCCUUAGAACAUGCACUGUUUAUUUCCCAUAUUCCAGAAUAUGCACAAGCGGGAAAGGCAAGAGUGUCUACUUAAGCCAUCCCCCAAGGUCUGCAUAUGAAGGCCUCAUUCCAAAUCCAGCUAGCCAGGAUUCCUGCAGCUGUGAAGGGAGAAUCCCAGACAGUGUCUCUUGAAAAGACUUAUAGGAGUCCCGUGUGCUUUAAAAGUCACACGUACAGGCUGGAUAUGGUGAUACAUACUUGCAAUCCCAGCACUCAGGAGGCUGAGGCAGGAGGAUCAUGGGUUUGGUGCUAGCCUGGGCCCCACACUAAGUCUCAUCGCACAAAGCAGCAGACGAGAUCACACAUACCCUUAUACAUUUCUGAUUGUUGCUUUCUUGGUCACAGUCUAAGUUUUAUCUAGCUUCCUCUGCCCUGUGCAACAUCCUUCAGCUCCUAGAUACUGUUUGUAUUCAUCUCUGAAGGCAGCUGUAACUAAUUAACCCAAAUAUGGUGGCUUGAAAUAACAAAAUUUCAUUCUCCCACAGUUCUGGAGGGCAGAUGUUUGUCAGGAGAGCCAUGUUCCUCCUGAGAGCUCUCAAGGGGGAUAUUUUCUAGUUUUGUCCGACUUCUGAUAGUUCUGGAGGUUCCACGCCAAUGGCUACAUAACUCCACUCUCAGACUCCAACUUGACAUAGUUCUUUUCUCUUCCUGUAUGCCCCUCCUGUGUGUACCAUUGAAUUUAGUUAGGGUCUACCCAGCUAAUCCAGUUCAAUCUUCUUUGUUUACUUCCCCGGAUUUGGAGUCGCCUAGGAGACACACCCCGGGGUGGGGGCAUAUUUGAGAAUGUUUCCAGGGAGGCUGAACUGAGGGAAAACAAACCCUCAAAUGUGGGUGGCGUCAUUCCAUGGGCUGGGGUUAAGGGCUAGCCAGGAAGAGGAAAUGGGGAAAGUGAGUUGGGCACCAGCCUUCUCUCUCUGCUCCCUGAUUGCAGGGAUAAUGUGGCCUGCUGCCUCCUGCUCCCACUGCUACAGCCGGAACUGUUCUCGCUGCCAUGAUGGGUCACCCCUCAAACUAAUGUAAAGCUCUCGGCUACUGCUCCAGCACCAUGCCUGUCUGUCUGCUUCCUGCCAUGAAGAUAAUGGACUAACCCUCUGAAACAGGUUAAAAGCAUCAGUGAGAACAAGCUUGACUCCGUGGGCAGGAACUUUGAAAAACAGCCUGUCCCUGGUGUGUGUGACAUGCACGAUGGGUCUGAAAUUCUUGCUCGGAGACAUAUGAAGUGGCUAUGGUGAGAGGAAAUUAUAUCCUUCUUUCUGUUUCUGCUCAGCGCUUUCCCCUGGGUAAGUGGACCCUUUGAAGUAGCCCUUUCCUUACCUCAGAUUCUGACAUGAGUAACUGAUCAUCUUUCAGUCUACCCAAGAUAAGGAGCCGGUCUCAAAACUGUGUAACUCUCUUAAGUAAACAAGAGCCAACCCCCCGGGGCACUUCUCCAAGGAGGGAGAGAAUUUCCCACAUGUGUUACACAUUUUAUUCUUCCCUAAAUGCUUUGCUCUGCAUCAUUGUGUUUAAAUUGGAUAAUGUCUACAUGAAAGGGAUGUGUCAAUUGUAUCAGUAACAAAAAAGGUAAGAUUUUGUAACAAUUAUGGAUUUGAUUUUUCUAUACAGACAUCUGAGGCUCAGCAAGAGAAUUUUAACUGCCUUCAAUUGCCCACUGAAGGGAAAUGGAGCUCCGACUGUGGUCUGUUUUCUAAUUCGGUUUGUGUUUUCUAUUCUGUAACAGAUGCCACCCACCUGGGGAUGUCAAAAGAGAAAAUCCAGGGUGCUGGACAGAUGGCUCAGUGGCGGAGACCACUGGCUGCUCUUGUAGACAACCAAGGUUUCCUUCCCAGAACUCAUAUGGGUGCUCAAAACCAUCUGUGAUUCCAGCUCCAGGGCAUCUGGCGCCCUCUUCUGGCCUCUAUAGAUACUGCAAAUACAUGAUGCACAUACAUAUGCUUAGGCAAACACUUGUAAACAUAAAAUAAAAAUAAGGAAACCCAA